rnacentral:rRNA from 1 species
UACGUAGGGUGCAAGCGUUGUCCGGAAUUAUUGGGCGUAAAGAGCUCGUAGGCGGUUUGUCGCGUCGAAUGUGAAAACCCGGGGCUCAACCCCGGGCCUGCAUUCGAUACGGGCAGACUAGAGUGUGGUAGGGGAGACUGGAAUUCCUGGUGUAGCGGUGAAAUGCGCAGAUAUCAGGAGGAACACCGAUGGCGAAGGCAGGUCUCUGGGCCACUACUGACGCUGAGAAGCGAAAGCAUGGGGAGCGAACAGG